GGAGAGAGCUGAGCAAUGGCGGCGUCCAAGGCGCUGAUGCUGGCGGUGGGCGUGGUGGUGGUGGCGGGGUGCGCGGUGGGGCUGUCGGGCGCGACCGCGGGUGGAACCCCAACAUCAACUACUCCAGCUGGUCCGCCAACCAGACCUUCUACGCCGGCGACCUCAUCUCGCUCCGGUACCAGAAGGGGACGCACAACGUGUUCAAGGUGAAAGAGACGGGGUACGACAACUGCACCAUGGACGGGGUCACCGGCAACUGGACCUCCGGCAAGGACUUCAUCCCGCUCCCGCGCCCCGGCCGCUACUUCUUCAUCUGCGGCAACGGCUUCUGCCAGUCCGGCAUGAAGGUCGCCAUCACCGUCGGCAUCUUCGAUCUCGGCCCAGAGAUCUACCCCCCGCCCGCCCCCGGCGCCGACAACCCAUCCACCUCCGCCUCUUUCACCGCAGGGGCGUGGCCGGCAGCGGCAGCGGUGGUCACCGCGCUGGGAGCUGCCCCAUCCUUGUCCUUUAGUUCCAAGGAGUAUCAUCUGCAGCGAUUGACCGAGACAUGGUCUCUAAUCUAGUCUAAUUGGGGGGCAUUUAGCUAGCUAGCUUUCCUGAUGUAAUGCAACCGCACCCGCAUUUCGAGUAUCAGUAGAAUGUACUCAUGAAUCACCACGCUAGUUGCAAUUCACCAAGAUAGAUCCAAAUCGCUGGAAGAAAAAAAAGCUCUGCAAUUUAUCCACAACCCAUAUCCACCAACCAAGAUGCUGCUAUGUAUAUUGGACAAAAGGCUACAAAAACAAACCCUAUGGGAAUUGUUGAAUAGAAUCCCUCUGUUAUAUA